rnacentral:rRNA from 1 species
UGGUGGAGUGAUUUGUCUGGUUAAUUCCGUUAACGAGCGAGACCAAUACUUACUAAAUAAAUAGGCCAACCGGCUACCAUGCCGUGAAGCGUCUUUGGCGGGCGGGCUUAACGGCCUGCCUCCGGAUUCGUGGAUCGGUUGCUGCGUUGGUCAUAUUUUCUUAGGAGGACUGCUGCCUUCAAGGCAGAGGAAGUUAUUGGCAAUAACA